AUUGAACGCUGGCGGCAUGCUUUACACAUGCAAGUCGAACGAGUGGCGGACGGGUGAGUAACGCAUCGGAACGUGCCUAGUAAAGGGGGAUAACUGUGCGAAAAGAUAGCUAAUACCGCUUACUAUUCGAUCGGCCGAUGCGGGAUUAGGUAGUUGGUGGGGUAAAGGCCCACCAAGGCGACGAUACAUAGCGGGUCUGAGAGGAUGAUCCGCCACACUGGGACUGAGACACGGCCCAGACUCCUACGGGAGGCAGCAGUGGGGAAUAUUGGGCAAUGGGCGCAAGUCUGAUCAAGCCACGCCGCGUGAAUGAAGAAGGCCUUCGGGUUGUAAAGGUCUUUUGUCAGGGAAGCGGUACCUAAAGAAAAAGCACCGGCUAACUACGUGCCAGCAGCCGCGGUAAUAC
rnacentral:rRNA from 1 species